AAGGUCGUCUUCCGUUUCCUUUUUCUCUUUCUUUUGUCGCGUGCGGCAGGAUGGACUUGGAGAAUAAAGGGACCUGGGAAUUAGUGAGGUAAACAUGUUGGAAGUGAGCAUCAUCUCAGACCUUAGCAGUUAACUAAAAAUGAAAAACAUGGUUUCAGUUAUGCUACCAGGGUUAUUACAGAGUCAUUGAAAAGAAAAAGAUGCUUUAGUAAUUCAGAUUACAAAAUUCAUCUGCAGCUGACAAAGUGGUGAAGUUAUAUGAAGUCUAUAUUUAUUUUAAUAAAAAUGUAUAAAAGCUAAAGCUGA